GACGAACGCUGGCGGCGUGCCUAAUACAUGCAAGUCGAACGCAGUGGGGACGGGUGAGUAACACGUGGGUAACCUCCCAUCAGAGGGGAUAACACUUGGAAACAGGUGCUAAACCGAUACUGAUGGAUGGACCCGCGGUGCAUUAGCUAGUUGGUGAGGUAACGGCUCACCAAGGCCACGAUGCAUAGCCGGACUGGGAGGGUGGUGCGCCACACUGGGGCUGGGGCCCGGCCCCGACUCCUACGGGAGGCAACAGUAGGGAAUCCUCGGCAAUGGGCGAAAGUCUUGCCGGGCAACGCCGCGUGAGUGGAGAAGGGUUUCGGAUCGGAAAACUCUGUUGUUUGAGAAGCGGUAUCUAACCAGAAAGCGACGGCUAACUACGUGCCAGCAGCCGCGGUAAUAC
rnacentral:rRNA from 1 species